rnacentral:ncRNA from 1 species
CUGUCAGCAAUGGCGGAUGUGACCCGCGAGAAGUCAGCAGAGGUCAUAGUACCUGAAUCGAGAACCGGGAGGAUGA